GACGAACGCUGGCGGCGUGCUUAACACAUGCAAGUCGAACGGAAAGGCCCUGCUCUUGUGGGGUGCUCGAGUGGCGAACGGGUGUGUAACACGCGAGUAACCUGCCCUUGACUUUGGGAUAACUUCAGGAAACUGGGGCUCAUACCGGAUAGGAGCUCCUGCUGCAUGGUGGGGGUUGGUAAGUUUCGGCGGUUGGGGAUGGACUCGCGGCUUAUCAGCUUGUUGGUGGGGUAGUGGCUUACCAAGGCUUUGACGGGUAGCCGGCAUGAGAGGGUGACCGGCCACAUAGGGACUAAGAAACGACCCAGACUCCUACGUGAGGCAGCAGUGGGAAAUAUUGCGCAAUGGGCGGAAGCCUGAUACAGCAACGCCGCGUGCGGGAUGACUGCCUUCGGGUAGUAAACCGCUUUCGCCUGUGACGAAGCGUGAGUGACGGUAAUGGGUAAAGAAGCACCGGCUAACUACGUG
rnacentral:rRNA from 1 species